rnacentral:lncRNA from 1 species
CUAAGUCCUGUGACUUGCAGGCUCACAUUCCCCGUGAGACUUCCUGCACCCGCCCAGGACCUCCCCGUGCAGCUGGAGUUUCCUCGGGAGUCCAGCCCCUCCCGGCCCCCUUCCACCUGAUCUCUCCCGGCUUCCACUGAUCCUCCUGAACUCUGAUCUGGGUGGGGAGGGCCCAGCGUGGCUUCUCUUAGAAUCAGAUUAGAGUCUGCACCAAGCUUAACGGGGGAAUCGCCGGCUCCCCGUGGAGCCGCUCUGCCUCUCCCUGCCUCUGGGAUCCCAGGGAAAACAAAAAUCUCUCUGAGACUCAGUCUCCACAUUUAUCCAGCGGAGAGCACAUUUCUCUCUGGAGCUGCACCCCGA